UGUUUCGGCUAGGGGGUCAUCCCGACUUACCAACCCGAUGCAAACUGCGAAUACCGAAGAAUGUUAUCACGGGAGACACACGGCGGGUGCUAACGUCCGUCGUGAAGAGGGAAACAACCCAGACCGCCAGCUAAGGUCCCAAAGUCAUGGUUAAGUGGGAAACGAUGUGGGAAGGCACAGACAGCCAGGAUGUUGGCUUAGAAGCAGCCAUCAUUUAAAGAAAGCGUAAUAGCUCACUGGUCGAGUCGGCCUGCGCGGAAGAUGUAACGGGGCUAAACCAUGCACCGAAGCUGCGGCAGCGACACUAUGUGUUGUUGGGUAGGGGAGCGUUCUGUAAGCCGUUGAAGGUGUAUCGUGAGGUAUGCUGGAGGUAUCAGAAGUGCGAAUGCUGACAUAAGUAACGAUAAUGCGGGUGAAAAACCCGCACGCCGGAAGACCAAGGGUUCCUGUCCAACGUUAAUCGGGGCAGGGUGAGUCGACCCCUAAGGCGAGGCCGAAAGGCGUAGUCGAUGGGAAACAGGUUAAUAUUCCUGUACUUGGUGUUACUGCGAAGGGGGGACGGAGAAGGCUAUGUUAGCCGGGCGACGGUUGUCCCGGUUUAAGCAUGUAGGCGGAGGUUCCAGGUAAAUCCGGUACCUUUUUAACGCUGAGGUGUGAUGACGAGGCACUACGGUGCUGAAGUAACAAAUGCCCUGCUUCCAGGAAAAGCCUCUAAGCAUCAGGUAACACGAAAUCGUACCCCAAACCGACACAGGUGGUCAGGUAGAGAAUACCAAGGCGCUUGAGAGAACUCGGGUGAAGGAACUAGGCAAAAUGGUGCCGUAACUUCGGGAGAAGGCA
rnacentral:rRNA from 1 species